UUGAGGUACAAAUGCGGCUGAGAUUGAUUGGAAAUUGGGGUUUUAGGGUUUUCAGAUUCUGCGCGAGAUUUGAUUCAUCAAUCAUCAAAUCCACUAAAGGGGUCUUUAGCAUUCACCCUAAUUUCAUAGUGGUUGUUUUCAAUUUUUAAUUUAGGUGUAUGUCUUUCCAUUUCCGAUCAGUUUAGGUUUUGAACAACACAGUUCCGAGCUUCCAUCCACUUCAUAGAAACACAUAUUACUUCUACAAUCUUCACCAAUUGAUAUAUCAGAAAGAAUGAACUCACCUCAGAUCCAGUGGUGUGUGUUGUGAUCAGAAGAAGCAAAGAUUUCAAUACUUCAGAAAUUGGAUUUUAGGGUUUGCACUUGAAGAUCAGCGAUUUCCACAUUCAAUAGGUACUGCUUCCUUAUCCAUUGUUUAAUUUUGAGUUUUCAACUGCAAAUUUUGGGGGUUUUCUAAGUUUAUUAAGGUUUUAUUGUUAAACAUUGGAAGAAUCAAGAAAUGCACCAUGUAUUGAUGGGGAAGAUAGAAUUAGUAGGUUACAAGAUGAACUUAUUCAUUAUAUCAUGUCUUUCAUCGAUACCAAACUUGCUGUUCAGACUUGUGUAUUGUCAAAAAGGUGGAUUCAUAUGUGGAAAUCUCUGCCUUUUCUGAACUUGGAUAGGAAUUCAUUUUCGAAUGAAAAAAUACAUAAGUUUGUAAUGUUUGUAGACAUGGUAUUCCUUUUUUGCAAAGACAUUGAUAUUCAGAGGUUUAAGAUACGUAGGGAUAACUCUGUGUAUGAUGAUUCAGUGAUAGAGCAUGUCAAUAGAUGGAGCCUUAUUGCUGCCGUUAAGCACGAUGUUCAAGAAAUAAUGAUAAGAAUCACUCACUGUCGUAAUUUGGCAUAUGAAAUUUCAUACCAUCUCCUGAAUUGUAAAUCACUAAGAAAGUUGGAAAUGCAAAUGUUUAGUAAUGCCAGAUAUGUAGAGAUGAUUCUACCAAGAUCAAUGAAUUUUCCUCAGCUUAAACUACUUUCUUUUACUGGGGUCUCAAUCUCUAAUGUAGAAGCAUCUAAAAGACUCUAUUCUAGUUGUCCAGUUCUUAAAACGUUACGCUUAGUUGAUUGUGAUGCACAAACUGAUAAUCAGAAGAAUUUGAUUGUUGAUUCCCUCACCCUUAAGGAGUUUGAAUAUAGCCAUCGUCGUAAAUAUCUUUUACGCGAAAAUGACACUAUGGUUAACAUUAUCAAGUUAUGUGCUCCAAAUCUGGAUGUCUUCACUUGCAAAAAUCUUUCUUGAGACAAGAUUAUUCUCUGGAAAACUCUUCUCCACUAUCCAGAGUAAAUUUUGACAUGAAACUCAAAGCAAAAAAAAGAAGAUGAGAACGCAGAAACUUAUUCAAAUCUGCCUUCAACGGAAAAAGAAGUUUAUGCUAAACGUAUGAUGCAAUUUCUAAGAGCGGUUUAUUUGGUAAAAGGAAUGAGGUUAUCAUCACCUGGUUUCCUUGAGGUUCUCUCACAAGCACCUGACUUAUUAGACUGUCAACCUCCUCGCUUAGGUAAUCUGCAAUAUUUGACGUUGGAAAUGUGGUGUACAAGAGGUUGUUUGCGUGCUAUACGUACUCAAGAUUUGUCCUCAUAUAACUCAAUUAUUGCUUAAAAACAAUGAGUCAAAUCCAGUGGAUGUUGGAGAUGAUUGGGAAGCAGGAUUGUCAUCUCCCGGAAUGUUGUCUCACCUUGAGCUUGUCGGGAUUAUGGAAAUGGAAGGAUGUGAUAAUGAACUCAAAUUUCUCAGUUUUUUGUUGAAAAAUGCGAUGGCCCUGAAGACUGUGGUACUGUAUCCUCGUUCUACUGUUGCCUCUCCUGAUAGAGUGAGAAGGCAAUUUAUGAAUAAGCUAAGAGCAUUUCCAAGAGCUUAUUCAUACAUCAUAAUGCACUGGGGAGCAGCAAAUAGUACCCACCUCAAGAUACACUGUACGUACUCAAACAAUGAAAUGACAUGACUUCCCUUGCAAGAUCUCUUAAUUCAAGGUUUCUUCCUUUAACUUACUUUUGUUUUUUUGGUUAUGCAUUUUAUCUGUUUAAAAGGAAGGAUUGGAAUGUCUAGUGAUCCUAUCCUCAAACUCCAGUACUUAUUUGUCUGCUUCCAUAUCUGAACUAUACAGUGCGAGGUGGUUUAAAGUUUCUGAUCUGUAAUCUGUAGGUCUUUAUAUAUAUAUACUGGUUAAAUAAGAAUGGUGCCUU